CUAAUACAUGCAAGUCGAGCGGACUUGAAGGAGUGCUUGCACUCCUGAUGGUUAGCGGCGGACGGGUGAGUAACACGUAGGUAACCUGCCCAUAAGACUGGGAUAACCCACGGAAACGUGAGCUAAUACCAGAUAGGCAUUUUCCUCGCAUGAGGGAGAUGAGAAAGGCGGAGCAAUCUGCCACUUAUGGAUGGACCUGCGGCGCAUUAGCUAGUUGGUAAGGUAACGGCUUACCAAGGCGACGAUGCGUAGCCGACCUGAGAGGGUGAUCGGCCACACUGGGACUGAGACACGGCCCAGACUCCUACGGGAGGCAGCAGUAGGGAAUCUUCCGCAAUGGACGAAAGUCUGACGGAGCAACGCCGCGUGAGUGAUGAAGGUUUUCGGAUCGUAAAGCUCUGUUGCCAGGGAAGAACGCCUAGGAGAGUAACUGCUCCUAGGGUGACGGUACCUGAGAAGAAAGCCCCGGCUAACUACGUGCCAGCAGCCGCGGUAAUACGUAGGGGGCGAGCGUUGUCCGGAAUUAUUGGGCGUAAAGCGCGCGCAGGCGGCAAUGUAAGUUGGGUGUUUAAACCUAGGGCUCAACCUUGGGUCGCAUCCAAAACUGCAUAGCUUGAGUACAGAAGAGGAAAGUGGAAUUCCACGUGUAGCGGUGAAAUGCGUAGAGAUGUGGAGGAACACCAGUGGCGAAGGCGAC
rnacentral:rRNA from 1 species